GUUAUUUGUAUAUAUAAAUUUUCCGCCAUAUUAAAAAACUGAAAUUUGCUAGGCGUUCUGAUGCACCUUUAGCGUUUAGCUUAGUGACGUCACACCUAGGUCCUAGUCUCGUACUACAUCUCCCGCUUGCUUUAGAACGACUGGGACUAGGCUGUGUACUAGUUAAAACACUCAUUAAUAAUUCAAAGCUUAUUGGCAAAUCAUGUCAACCAUAAUAUGUCAAGUGCAGUGGCUUUAAACCUGAUAAAACACUCUUAAUUAGUAUUCUUUAUAUAAAGAAUACUAAUAAGGCAGUAUAUCUAUUGAAUUUGUAGUCGUGUUUGAAGCCGUUUAAUAAACUCGCAGGUCGUGUUUUAUUAGGUCUAAAGCCACUCACGCCUCGUGGCUUUAAAC